UAGGGGCUGAAUCAGAGCUGUAGCCACUGGCUUAUACCACAGCCAUAGCCACUCCAGAUCCGAGCGGCAUCUGUGACCUACACCACAGCUCACGGCAAUGCUGGAUCCUUAACCCACUGUGCGAGGUCAGGGAUACUAGUCGGUUUUGUGUCCGCUGAGCCACAAUGGGAACUCCUGGAUCACACUAUUAUUCCCACUUGCUAGAUGUGGAAACUGAGGCCCAGAGUGAUGAAGAACGGGCCCAAAUUCACACAGGAAGAAACAAGCCAUUGCCUCUUCCCCGUCACACAGCACCUGCUGUCUUGGGAGAUGAGUCUGAAAUGCUAUGGAUGAAAAGAGAGCAUGGAGAAACUGCCAAAGACCUGCCGACAGUGCAUAUUCAUUUGUUCUUUCAUUAAAAAAUGUUUACGGAGGGCCGGCUGUGUGUCCAGCCAGCUGUGCUCCCGGUGCUGGGGAUUCAGCAGCAAGGAGAGCCGACAAGAACUCCUGGCUCAGAAUGUCUAGACGUCUAGACGUGCUCCUUGGCCCCUGCUCCUUUCUGGGCUCUAACGCCUGGCACUUACUUAGUGCCUAACAGGUGACAGAGCUCUUUCCUGUACCCUGGCUCUGAGGGACCUCCCAGCGGCCUCGGACAGGCCAGGUGUGCUGCCUGCAAGUCCAGCUCCUCUGAUGGCAUACUAGCAGCGCCCCUGAGGCUCAUUUGCACUUUCUUCUUAAACAACCAAGAGUCCCAGCUGCAGGAGGGGGCACUGGGGGCCCUCGGAGCUGCCCUGCCCCCUCCCCUGCUCGUCUGGUGGGGGAGAGAGUCUCCCAGCAGUUCGUCAGUUCACAGCUUGCAAGGCCAAGGCACCUGCCAUGACGGGAUUGGGGAAGGGCCGGGGAGGAUGGACCGGGAGGCGGGGGCACAGGAGACGGUGAUGAGGGGGGGCUUGGCCCUAUCGCGAGGGGCGUGGCACGUCCACAAUGAUAUCAUUUGCUCUAAAAGCAGCACCGGGCCUCCUGUUAGUGGGGGGCUUUCAGGGAGGAGGGGACCCUCUGGACCAGGUGGCUCAGCCUGAAGGAGGAAGGAAGUGGGGAGUUAUUUUUGAGGAGGCUCUAUAAUAUUUCCAUCGGACUGCACCAACUUACAUCCCACUAAAAGUGCAUACGAGUUCCCUUUUUUCAGCAGCCUUUCCAACAGCUUGUUAUGGCUCGCUUUUUUGUUUGGUUGUUUGUCUUUUGUCUUUUUAGGGCCGCACCCGCCGCACAUGGAGGUUCCCAGGCUAGGGGUCGAAUCGGAGCUGUAGCCGCCAGCCUACGCCACAGCAACACCAGAUGCAAGCUGCGUCUGCGACCUACACCACAGCUCACGGCAACAUCGGAUCCUUGACCCACUGAGUGAGGCCAGGGAUCGAACCCGCAACUUCAUGGUUCCUAGUCGGAUUCGUUUCCUCUGCGCCACGACAGGAACUCCUACCACUUGUUUUUUUUGGUGAUGGCCAUUCGACAGGUGUGAGGGGAUAUUUGAUUCGAGUUUGGAUUUCCCUGAUGAUUAGUGAUAUUGAGCAUCUUUCCUGUGUCUGCUGGCCGUCUGUAGUCUUCUUUGGAAAAAUGUCUAUUCAGGUCCACUGCCCAUUUUUAAAAUCGGGUUGCUUAGUUUUUUGAUUUUGAGCUGCUUGAGUUCUUUGUAUAUUUAGAACAUCAACCCCAUUUCAGAUGUGUCAUUUGCAAAUAUCUUCUCCCAUUCAGUGGGCUGCCUUUUUGUUUUGUUAAUAGUUUCCUUCACUGUGCAAACGUUUUUGAGUUUGAUGCAGUCCCGUUUGUUCAUAUUUGCUUUUUAUUUCCCUUGACUGGGGAGACAUAUCCAAAAAAAUAUUGCUGAGACUGACGUCAAAGAGCUUACUGCCUCUGUUCUCUUCUAGGCGUUUUAUGGUUUUAGGUCUUGCAUUUAAGUCUUUAAUCCAUUUUGAGUUUAUUUUUACAUAUGGUGGUACACAAACUUUUAAAGGCAACAGUGCCCAGGAAAAUUGCACCAAAUUUACUUUCCAUAAGCAGUGGCUCAAGUGAAAGAUUUGGGGAGUUCCCCUUGUGGCUCAGCAGUAAUGAACCUGACUAGUAUCCAAGAGGACGUAGGUUCAAUCCCUGGUCCUGCUCCGUGGGUUAAGGAUCCAGGGUUGCCGUGAGCUGGGAUGUAGGUCGCAGACAGCUCGGAUCUGUCGUUGC
ensembl:lncRNA